UACGAAGGGGGCUAGCGUUGCUCGGAAUCACUGGGCGUAAAGGGUGCGUAGGCGGGUUUUUAAGUCAGGGGUGAAAUCCUGGAGCUCAACUCCAGAACUGCCUUUGAUACUGAAGAUCUCGAGUCCGGGAGAGGUGAGUGGAACUGCGAGUGUAGAGGUGAAAUUCAUAGAUAUUCGCAAGAACACCAGUGGCGAAGGCGGCUCACUGGCCCGAUACUGACGCUGAGGCACGAAAGCGUGGGGAGCAAACAGG
rnacentral:rRNA from 1 species